UACGUAGGGUGCGAGCGUUGUCCGGAUUUAUUGGGCGUAAAGAGCGUGUAGGCGGCUUUACAGGUCCGUUGUGAAAACUCGAGGCUCAACCUCGAGACGCCGGUGGAAACCGUAAAGCUAGAGUCCGGAAGAGGAGAGUGGAAUUCCUGGUGUAGCGGUGAAAUGCGCAGAUAUCAGGAAGAACACCCGUGGCGAAGGCGGCUCACUGGCUCGAUACUGACGCUGAGGUGCGAAAGCGUGGGGAGCAAACAGG
rnacentral:rRNA from 1 species